CCCUGAUCUCCUUGGAUUGAUCUCAGCUCCUUCCUGAUCUCCUUGGAUUGAUCCCAGCCCCUCCCUGAUCCCUCUGGAUCAAUCCCAGCUCCUCUGGAUUGAUCCCAGCUCCCUCCAACCCCUCUGGAUCACUCCCAGUUGCUCCCUGAUCCCUCUGGAUCGACCCCAGCUCCUCCCUGAUCUGUUUGGAUCAAUCCCAGUCCCUCUGGAUCGAUCCCAGCUCCUCCCUGAUCUGUUUGGAUCAAUCCCAGUCCCUCUGGAUCCAUCCCAGCUCCUUCCAGUCCCUCUGGAUCACUCCCAGUUGCUCCCUGAUCACUCUGGAUCAACCCAAGCCCCUCUGGAUCGAUCCCAGCUCCUCCCUGACCCCUCUGGAUUUGAUCUCAAUUCCUCCCUGAUCCCUUUGGACCAAUCCCAGCUCCUUCCAACCCCUCUGGCUUGAUCUCAGUUUUCUCUGGAUCGAUCCUGGAUCCUCCCUGAUCCCUCUGGAUCGAUCCCAGCCCUUCUGGAUCACUCAAUCCCCAGUCCUUACCCUCCCCCAGGCUCUCCAGCCCCACAGUGGAUCCCUGAGGGAUGCCCCCCACUCCAGAAGGAUAUUUUUUGAUUUAAAGAUCCCCAUUUGGUGCCCCCAUCCCCACAGUGGAUCCCUGAGGGAUCCCCCAUUUUGUGAGCCCCAUUUUGGGUUCCAACCCCCCCGUUUGUGCCCCCAUCCCCACAGUGGAUCCCU
rnacentral:lncRNA from 1 species